rnacentral:tRNA from 1 species
GCUUCAGUGGCGAAGUUGGUUAACGCGCCUUUCCAACAAAAAGGAGGCCCAGGUUCGACACCUGGCCGAAGUG